GACCAAAAUGGUCAGUUGACCUCUUUAGGAGUUAUUGCCCUUUAUAGUAAAUUUUUAACCAUUUUUCGUAAAUCUCAGUAAUCUUUUAGAAAAAUCUUCUCUGAUGAAACUACUGGGCCAAAUUAAUCCAAACUUGGCCAUAAUCAUCAUUGGGGUAUUUUGUUUAAAAAAUGUGUCUGGUAACUCGGCCAACAAACCAAGAUGGCGACCAUAGCUAAAAUUAGAACAUGGGGG
rnacentral:lncRNA from 1 species